AGACAGAACCGUUGAGUGUUUAAUAAAAAAAGUAAACUUAUAACGUUCUGGUCAAUAGGUAAAUACCAGUUAACAAUGGAACUAGUAUUUAAGGAAAAUAUGCAAAAGGAGCAGUCCAGGAAUCUGACAGACCUGCACCUGACGGAGGCGAUGAGACGAAUGAUCAAAUAGGUCAAACAUCGUACAAUGAAAUCAGGUCCAUCCAUACAUAUGUGGCUCAGGAGGUUGGUUCUAGUGAUGACUUUCAAGUCGACAUAA